rnacentral:rRNA from 1 species
AUGUGCGUGUCGUUCGUAGUGGUGGUGGCGCUGAGCGGGGUGGUGGCGCAGUUGGAUUGCAAGCCGCAGUUGCUUAAGGCUUGCGAUCCAGCCAUCAUAGACGGCAAUGCUCCUUCGACAUUGUGCUGCUCCAUCCUCACAGCGGAGAAGGAGUGCCUCUGCGGAUACUUGGAGGAUCGUGCGUACCGGCAAUACGUCCGUGGCCCCAACCUCCGCAAGACAAUCACCUCCUGCGGAAUACAUGUUGGUGUGUGUGCAAUUGGAGUAUAG